UACAGAGGCCCCAAGCAUUAUCCGGAAUCACUGGGCGUAAAGGGUGUGUAGGCGGUUAUAUUAGUCCUUCGUGAAAGCUUUCGGACUCAAUCCGGAAAACGCGGUGGAAACGGUAUAACUUAGAGGACGCGAGAGGUAGAGGGAACUCAUGGUGUAGGGGUGAAAUCCGUUGAUAUCAUGGGGAACACCAAAUGCGAAGGCACUCUACUGGCGCGCUCCUGACGCUGAAACACGAAAGCGUGGGAAUCGAAUGGG
rnacentral:rRNA from 1 species